rnacentral:tRNA from 1 species
GGGCGGGUGGUGGAAUUGGUAUACACGCAGGACUUAAAAUCCUGUGGCCGUAAGGCUGUGAGGGUUCAAGUCCCUCCCCGCCCA